rnacentral:misc_RNA from 1 species
UGGUUCUGGCAUCGAUGAAGAACGCAGCGAAAUGCGAUAAGUAAUGUGAAUUGCAGAAUUCAGUGAAUCAUCGAAUCUUUGAACGCACAUUGCGCCCAUUAGUAUUCUAGUGGGCAUGCCUGUUCGAGCGUCAUUUCAACCCUUAAGCCUUUGUUGCUUAGUGUUGGGGGCCUACUAUGCUUGUAGCCCCUGAAAGUUAGUGGCAGAGUCAGUUCACACUCUAGACGUAGUAAUGUAUUUUAUCUCGCCUAUAAGUUGCACUGGUCCCUUGCCAUAAAACACCCCUAAUUUUUAAAAGGUUGACCUCGAAUCAGGUAGGAAUACCCGCUGA